GACAAACGCUGGCGGCGUGCGUAAAACAUGCAAGUCGCACGGUCUCCUUCGGGGGACAGUGGCAGACGGCUGAGUAACGCGUAGGAACCUGCCCAUCAGUGGGGAACAACCACCCGAAAGGGGGCUAAUACCGCAUACGACCACUCCGCAAGGAGUGAGGAAAGCCGCAAGGCGCUGAUGGAGGGGCCUGCGUCCGAUUAGCUAGUUGGUGGGGUAAUGGCCUACCAAGGCGCCGACGGUAGCUGGUCUGAGAGGAUGACCAGCCAGACUGGGACUGGGACACGGCCAGACUCCUACGGGAGGCAGCAGUUAGGAAUUUUGGGCAAUGGCCGCAAGCUGACCCAGCAACGCCGCGUGGGGGACGAAGGCUCUCGGGCUGUAAAACCCCCUUUU
rnacentral:rRNA from 1 species